rnacentral:rRNA from 1 species
UGGGGAAUAUUGCACAAUGGGCGCAAGCCUGAUGCAGCCAUGCCGCGUGUAUGAAGAAGGCCUUCGGGUUGUAAAGUACUUUCAGCGAGGAGGAAGGCGUUGUGGUUAAUAACCGCAGCGAUUGACGUUACUCGCAGAAGAAGCACCGGCUAACUCCGUGCCAGCAGCCGCGGUAAUACGGAGGGUGCAAGCGUUAAUCGGAAUUACUGGGUGUAAAGCGCACGCAGGCGGUCUGUCAAGUCGGAUGUGAAAUCCCCGGGCUCAACCUGGGAACUGCAUCCGAAACUGGCAGGCUAGAGUCUUGUAGAGGGGGGUAGAAUUCCAGGUGUAGCUGUGAAAUGCGUAGAGAUCUGGAGGAAUACCGGUGGCGAAGGCGGCCCCCUGGACAAAGACUGACGCUCAGGUGCGAAAGCGUGGGGAGCAAACA